AUUGAACGCUGGCGGCAGGCCUAACACAUGCAAGUCGAGCGGAUGAGGGGAGCUUGCUUCCUGAUUCAGCGGCGGACGGGUGAGUAAUGCCUAGGAAUCUGCCCGAUAGUGGGGGACAACGUUUCGAAAGGAACGCUAAUACCGCAUACGUCCUACGGGAGAAAGUGGGGGAUCUUCGGACCUCACGCUAUCGGAUGAGCCUAGGUCGGAUUAGCUAGUUGGUGGGGUAAAGGCUCACCAAGGCGACGAUCCGUAACUGGUCUGAGAGGAUGAUCAGUCACACUGGAACUGAGACACGGUCCAGACUCCUACGGGAGGCAGCAGUGGGGAAUAUUGGACAAUGGGCGAAAGCCUGAUCCAGCCAUGCCGCGUGUGUGAAGAAGGUCUUCGGAUUGUAAAGCACUUUAAGUUGGGAGGAAGGGCAGUCAGUUAAUACCUUGCUGUCUUGACGUUACCAACAGAAUAAGCACCGGCUAACUUCGUGCCAGCAGCCGCGGUAAGAC
rnacentral:rRNA from 1 species